CCUACGGGGGGCAGCAGUGGGGAAUAUUGCGCAAUGGGGGGAACCCUGACGCAGCGACGCCGCGUGAAGGAAGAAGGCCUUCGGGUUGUAAACUUCUUUGAUUGGGGAAGAAAAAUGACGGUACCCAAAGAACAAGCCACGGCUAACUACGUGCCAGCAGCCGCGGUAAUACGUAGGUGGCGAGCGUUAUCCGGAAUCACUGGGCGUAAAGGGUGCGUAGGCGGCCGAUUAAGCCAGGGGUGAAAGGCUACGGCUCAACCGUAGUAAGCCCUUGGAACUGAUUGGCUUGAGUGCAGGAGAGGAGAGUGGAAUUCCUAGUGUAGCGGUGAAAUGCGUAGAUAUUAGGAGGAACACCAGUGACGAAGGCGAUUCUCUGGACUGUAACUGACGCUGAGGCACGAAAGCGUGGGGAGCAAACAGGAUUAGAUACCCUAGUAGUC
rnacentral:rRNA from 1 species